rnacentral:pre_miRNA from 1 species
GUGUGCUUUGUGACAAUGAGAUUCGGUUCGAUAUCAUCCCCUUGUUGCAAACCUCACGC